CUUCCCGGAUGCUUUCUUCGGACUGGCUGCGCUUGUGUUCGAUUAGAUUAGAUUAGAUUAGUAACUUUUGCUCAUUUUUGGUGGAGAGGUACACUGAGAGAUCAGAUCGAAUCAGCGCAUGCUUAACAUAAGAUUUUCUAAUGCUGUUCGACCAAUGCCAUGUUGUUGUUUUUUUAUAAGAACUGGCAACAAAGAUCAUAAGAUUUUCCUAUGGAUUUUAUAGUUUGGACAUUCGCUAUUUACAAAUGUCAGCAGUGUGAAAAUAGCAUAAGACAAUUUUAUUUCACCCAAACUUUAAAAGUGGCGUCGGAAGAGCAAAUCGUGUUGGACGAAGCUAGCCUUAUUCCUUGAAUUCGUCGUAAACAAUUUGUGGGAAGUUGUUUCCGAGUGGAGGACCCGUAACACUCGGUCCAGAUUAAUAGUAAAAGCGAAGCGACGAGCACAUCCCGGAGCACCAUUUCACCGAUCAAGACGCCAGUUGGAGGCUCCGGUAAGGACGGCACGGAUCCUGUGGCCCCCGGCCAGAACGGACUCGCAAAUUCUAACAAUUUAUCCCGAUCCCGAGCCUCAGCAAGAAUGACGAGACGAUCUCUUCCCGGAAAACAAUUCCACCGUUCGAGACAGCAGUUGGAGGUUUCGGCAAGUCCCAGAAGGCCGUUCUUUCGACCGCCAAAGGAACGGAUGCUGUGGCCUCUGGCCAGAGCGGAUUCGCGAAUUCUAACACCGGUCCGGUAGAAUCGAUCCCGAGCCUCCACGGAAGUUGCACGACGAACGCAAUUCUAUCGAUCGAUAGACCAGUUGAAGGUUCCAGCAAAACCCUGACCGGUUCGGUAGAAUCCAGUAGAAAUUCUUGAAUUCAUUCUUGAAAUUAUUGGAUCACUUCAGACCAAAUAUAGGGUUUUACCGAUUGUACUGAUUGGAAUAUUCCUAAGAAUUGUUUUUUUUUAAAUACAAACAAAAAAGCAAAAG